rnacentral:lncRNA from 1 species
AAACAAUAUAUGAAACUCAUCCCCUAUUCCCUCAUUACAUAAUGUACAUAUUCUAUUUUCCCUCGCGAUCCCCGCCCAUCUACCCGUCUCAAUAGGUAACUUCAAAUUCGAGCAUCGAAGUUUAGAUGUAAUAUCUGUCCUUGGGUAAUAAUCGCAAUAGAUACGGUUCCAAACCAAACUCGAGUUUGAAUAAAGAAUAUAAUUCACCCC